rnacentral:rRNA from 1 species
AUGCAGCCAAAAGUGUGUACAGAGUAUAAAUGUGGUUCCACUGUCACGCCAGACCAAACUUUUCUGGAUACAAAAGAGCAUACAAAGUUCAAACAAUUGCAAAGAAAGUUCUGGGUUGUUGCAAGUAGGUUUAACAAAGAGUAUGAGAUAGUAUGUAAGAAAAAGUCACACCACCAUCGGGCUUCGGGCCAUGGGGGAGAGGCAACAGCGAGCGGAUUAGGAUAUUGGGUGAGCAUGACCGCCAUGGAGAAGAAAGGGGUCCAGGAACUCCUCCUCCUGCAGCUCGAGGACGACCCACACCAUAGACUAGCGGAGAAUCCAUCCCGAAGCCAACGACCUCGUCGGGUCGACACCCUGCUACCGUAG